AAUAAGCGCAGCCAUGAGUUUCCGUGUUCAACUUUGAUCGUUCGUCUUAUUUGAAAUUUUUUUAUGAUUAGUAUUUUUAUUUUUACUAGAUUAUAAAACAUGAAUAAUACUUUAUGCGUGACUCAUGUUUUUAAGUUUUUUCAAAAAAAAAUUCAAAUAAGACAAAUAAUUAAAGUUUAACACAGAAAUUUAUGGUUAUGCUUAUU
rfam:Oryza rufipogon genomic scaffold, chr08